UACGGAGGAUCCAAGCGUUAUCCGGAUUUAUUGGGUUUAAAGGGUGCGCAGGCGGAAGAUUAAGUCGGCGGUGAAAUUUUGCAGCUUAACUGUAACAGUGCCGUUGAUACUGGGGAGCUAGGAUUUGGUUGCUGUGGGUGGAAUGUGCGGUGUAGCGGUGAAAUGCUUAGAGAUCACACAGAAUAUCGAUUGCGAAGGCAGCUCACAAAGCCAAGAUUGACGCUGAGGCACGAAAGUGUGGGGAUCAAACAGGAUUAGA
rnacentral:rRNA from 1 species